UUUUCCGAACCCCAAGAAGAAAAAAUUCAGUCAGAAGAAGAAAUAAAAAUUUUCAAAAUUUUAUUUGAUGUCGUUAUAAUUUCUAAUAAUGAUCAAACUCUUAUAAAAAAUUUUAUUGAUUUCCAUGAAAUCAAUAAACAAGUUCCUCAAUGGUCAUACAAAUUAACAAGUGAAUUGGAAGAAUUGGAAGCUGAAACUGAAGAAAAUAUACCAACCGAACCUGGAAUUCGUUCAAGAAAAGCAAAACGUGUAGUGGUUUUUACUGAUUUAAAAGAACCGCAUAACGAGAUUUAUACUAAUCUCAAAGAUAAUCAAAAUUCUGAUCAAACAGAUGAAAUGGCUUUGAUCCGUUAUUCACAACAAUCUGAUUUUCGUCGAGAGAUAAUUAAAGGAUCCAUGCGUUCCCAAAGGCGUAAAACUGUUAUUUGGGAAUUUUUGCAAGCAAAAGCACAUUCGCCCCUUUUUUUUGAUAGAAUAGAUAAAUUUUUUUUUUUUCGUUUGAUAUAUGGGGGCUAAAAAAAAAAAUUCUUAGAAAUUUCAUGUGGAAAAAAAAAAUUUUUUUUGAUAAAAACGAAGAAGAACAAUCAAAAAAAGAAGAACAAAGACGUAUAGAAAUUGCGGAAACUUGGGAUAGCUUCUUAUUUGCUCAAAUAAUAAGAGGUUUUAUUUUAGUAACUCAAUCUAUUCUUAGAAAAUAUAUUAUAUUACCUUUAUUGAUAAUAAUUAAAAAUAGCAUCCGUAUCGUAUUAUUUCAACUUCCCGAGUGGGAAGAGGAUUUAAAGGAGUGGAAACGUGAAAUGCAUGUUAAAUGUACUUAUAAUGGGGUUCAACUAUCCGAAACAGAAUUUCCACGAAACUGGUUAACGGAUGGUAUUCAGAUAAAAAUCCUAUUUCCAUUUUAUCUUAAACCUUGGCAUAAAUAUAAAUUUCAAUCAUCUCAGAAGGCUCGACUAAAAAAAAAAAAAGGAGAAAAAAAUGAUUUUCGUUUUUUAACAGUUUGGGGGCUGGAAACUGACCUACCUUUUGGUUCUACCAAACCAAAGCCUUCUUUUUUUAAACCUAUUUUUAAAGAAUUAAAAAAAAGAAUCAAAAAAUCCAAAACGAAGUCUUUUCCGGUUUUAAGGAUUUUCAAAGAAAGAGCAACAAUUUUCCUAAAAGUCGAAAAAGAAAUUAAAAACUGGAUUAUAAAAAACUUGCUUUUUCUAAAAGAAAAAAAAAAAAAACUUUCAAAACGAAAUAAAAUUCCAUUAGUUGGCCCGAGAGAAAUAUAUGAAUUAAAUGAAACUAAAAAAGAUUCAAUAAUGAGUAAUCAGAUGAUUCAUGAACUAUCUGUUCAAAAAAAAUCGACGGAGUGGCCAAAUUCUUCACUCAGCGAAAAUAAAAUAAAAAAUGUGAUUGAUAAAAUAAAGACAAUCAGAAAUCAAACGAAAAAAAUUUCAAAAGAAAAAGAAAAACUAACUAAUAGUUGUAACAAACUGUGUUAUGAUUCUAAAAUAAUUGAGUCAUCAAAAAAAAGUUGGCAGACAUUAAAAAAAAAAAAAACUCGAUUAAUUCGUAAAUCUUUUUUUUUUUUUCAAUUUUGCGUUGAACAACUGUCUAUUUCUAUUUUUCUAGGUAUUAUUAAUAUUCCAAGAAUUACUACACAACUUUUUGUUGAUUCAACAAAAAAAAUUCUUGAUGUAUAUAUUUACAAGAAUGAGGAAAAUGGAGAAAAAAAAAAAAAUACCAUUUAUUUUAUUUCGACUAUAAAAAAUUUCAUAUCAAAAAAAAAUUUUUUUAGUUAUGACUUAUGCUCUUUAUCACAAGCAUAUGUAUUUUACAAAUUAUCACAAAUUCAAGUUAGUAACUUUUCUAAAUUAAAGUCUUUUUUUGAAUAUAACAUAUACAUAACAUCCUUUUUUGUUAAGAAUCAAAUAAAAGAUUUUUUUAAAGAACAAGGAAUCUUUCAUUAUGAAUGGAAAGAUAAAACCCUUUUAAAUUCCGAAAUAAAUCAAUGGAAAAACUGGUUACGAAGUCAUUCUCAAUAUAAUUUACCUCAGAUUGCAUGGGCUAGAUUAGUAACCCAAAAAUGGAAAAAAAAAAUAAACCAAGACUCUCUAGUUCUAAAUCCAAGUUUAAACAAAGUGGAUUCAUACGAAAAAAAAUUUUUUGAUAAUUACAAAAAACAAAAUUUUUGUGAGGCUAACUUAUUUUUCAAUCCAAAACAUAAACAGAAUUUCAAAAAGGAUUCUAUAUAUAAUCUUUUUUGCUACAAAUCUAUUCAUUCUACAGAAAAAUUUUUUGAUAUGUCUACAGGCCUAGAAAAUUUUUUAAUCUCUUGUUUUCUAGAAAAAUAUAAUAUUCGCAGUAUAGGGGAAAUUUUGCAUAGAAAAUAUUUGGAUUGGAGAAUUCUCAACUUUUGGUUUAGAAAAAAAGUAAAUAUUGAGCUUGAUACUAGGAGUAAAAAAAAAUAUAUUAAGACUAAAGUUAAGAAUUUAUAAAAUAACUAAGACGAGUCUUGCCAAUCAAAAAAUAAAUUUUUUUGAUUGGAUGGGAAUGAAUGAAGAAAUACUAAAUCCUCGUAUAACAAAUUUUGACUUUUUUUUCUUUCCAGAAUUUUUCUUAUUUUCUAGUACAUAUAAAAUGAAACCGUGGGUCAUACCAAUUAAAUCACUUCUUUUCAAUUUUAAUGAAACAAAAAAUGUGAAUAAACAGAUCACCCUAAAGAAAAAAGGUUUUAUACCAUCAAACGAAAAAAAAUUCCUUCGGUUUUUUAAUCUAAAUAAAGAAGAAAACGAAUCAGCAGGUCAAGAAGAGUUUGAAUCAGAUAAAGAAACAAAAAUAAAUACGGAAUCAGCUCUAUCAAAGCAAGAAAAAAAUAUUGAAGAAAAUUAUACAGAAUCGAAGAUAAAAAAACGUAAAAAUAAAAAACAACCAAAAAGCAAUACCGAAGCGGAACUUGACUUAUUUCUCAAAAGGUAUUCGCGUUUUCAAUUGCGAUGGAAUUGUUUUUUUAAUCAAAAAAUCCUCAAUAAUGUAAAAGCAUACUGUCUCUUGGUUAGACUAAAAAAUCCAACCGAGAUAACGAUAUCUUGUAUUGAAAGAGGAGAGAUGAGCUUAGAUAUUCUAAUGAUUGAGAAGAAUUUCACUUUUUCAAAAUUAAUGAAAAAAGGAAUAUUGAUUCUUGAACCUGUUCGUUUGUCUGUAAAAAACGACGGCCAACUUAUUAUAUAUAGAACCAUCGGGAUUUCAUUGGUUCAUAAAAAUAAACAAAAAAUAAGUAAAAGAUCAAAAAAAAAAAGCUAUAUUUAUAAAAAAAAAAGUUUAAAUUUCUUUGUCCCUGAAACUAUUCUAUCCCCUAAACGACGUAAAGAAUUUCGAAUUCUAAUUUGUUUCAAUUUAAAAAAAAAAUGCAAGGGAUAGAAAUUCAAAAUUUGAUACAAAUAUUCAAAACUUGACCACAGUUUUGAAUAAAAAGAAAGAUCUUGAUAAGGAUAAAAAAAACCUAAUUAAAUUAAAAUCCUUUCUUUGGCCCAAUUUUCGAUUAGAAGAUUUAGCUUGUAUGAAUCGCUAUUGGUUUAAUACGACUAAUGGAAAUCAUUUCAGUAUGAUAAGAAUACACAUGUAUACGCGAUUUCAAAUGCAUUAAUGGUAGAUCCUUUUUACUAUAUUUUGACUAUAUAUAUAGUAUUAAGUUACGGUAUAUGAACAAUAUAUAAUAUAAGUUACGGUAUAUGAAAACAAUUGGAUGCACAAAUGUGAGGGAUUUUUUUAAAUUCAAUCUUUAUACAUGAGAUUCAUUGAAUUAAUGACAUAGAUACCACUCAGAGCGAAUUCAUAAAUAAAUUUUUAAAAUCCUCCUUUUUUAGAUCGAAAUUUAAACUUUUUUUUUAUAAAAUUAAGAAUUAAGAAGUUGAUAAUUAAAUUCGGAUCCUUGUACAAAAAAACUACCAUUAUUAUUACUGAUCAGUAAAAUUCAUAUCUUUCAAUUCAUAUUAAAAAGGGAAGGAUUUCUUUUUAUGAUAAAAAAUACAUUCAUUUCAUUUCAAGAAAAAAAAGAAGAAAGCAAGGGAUCUGUUGAAUUUCAAGUAGUCAGUUUCACUAAUAAGAUACGAAGACUUACUUCACAUUUGGAAUUGCACAGAAAAGAUUAUUUAUCUCAGAGAGGUCUACGAAAAAUUCUGGGAAAACGUCAACGACUGCUGGCUUAUUUGUCAAAAAAAAAUAGAGUACGUUAUAAAGAAUUAAUUAAUCAGUUGAAUAUUCGGGAAUUAAAAACUCGUUAAAUUCCAAAAUUCUGAAUUAGUUAAUUUUUUAGAUCUUGAAUUUUUGAAUAAACUUCUUUUUCAGCAAUCUAAUUCAUACCAGAACGAAUCAAGGAAAAACUUAUGAAGAGACCAGUUACAGGAAAAGAUCUUAUGAUAGUCAAUAUGAGACCUCACCACCCAUCCAUGCACGGUGUUCUUCGCUUAAUUGUUACUCUAGACGGUGAGGAUGUUGUUGAUUGUGAACCCAUAUUGGGUUAUUUACACAGAGGAAUGGAAAAAAUUGCAGAAAACCGAGCAAUUAUACAAUAUUUACCUUAUGUAACGCGGUGGGAUUAUUUAGCUACUAUGUUUACAGAAGCAAUAACAGUAAACGGACCCGAACAAUUAGGAAAUAUUCAAGUUCCUAAAAGAGCCAGCUAUAUCAGAGUAAUUAUGCUAGAAUUGAGUCGUAUAGCUUCUCAUCUGUUAUGGCUUGGCCCUUUUAUGGCAGAUAUUGGGGCACAGACUCCCUUUUUCUAUAUUUUCAGAGAACGAGAAUUUGUAUAUGAUCUAUUCGAAGCUGCCACCGGUAUGAGAAUGAUGCAUAAUUUUUUUCGUAUUGGAGGAAUAGCGGCGGAUUUACCUUAUGGUUGGAUAGAUAAAUGCUUGGAUUUUUGUGAUUAUUUUUUAACAGAGGUUGUUGAAUAUCAAAAACUUAUUACACGAAAUCCUAUUUUUUUAGAACGAGUUGAAGGCGUUGGGAUUAUUGGUGGGGAAGAAGCAAUAAAUUGGGGUUUAUCCGGACCAAUGUUACGCGCAUCCGGAAUACCAUGGGAUCUUCGUAAAGUUGAUCGUUAUGAGUCUUACGAUGAAUUUGAAUGGGAAAUUCAGUGGCAAAAACAAGGAGAUUCAUUAGCUCGUUAUUUAGUACGACUUAGCGAAAUGACAGAAUCCAUCAAAAUUAUUCAACAGGCUCUGGAAGGACUUCCGGGGGGUCCCUAUGAAAAUUUAGAAAGCAGAGGCUUUGAUAAAAAAAGGAAUCCAGAGUGGAAUGAUUUUGAAUAUCGAUUCAUUAGUAAAAAACCUUCCCCUACUUUUGAAUUAUCGAAACAAGAACUUUACGUAAGAGUUGAAGCUCCAAAAGGGGAAUUGGGAAUUUUUCUCAUAGGAGAUCAAAGUGGUUUUCCUUGGAGAUGGAAAAUCCGACCGCCGGGUUUUAUUAAUUUGCAAAUUCUUCCUGAACUAGUUAAAAGAAUGAAAUUGGCUGAUAUUAUGACGAUACUCGGUAGCAUAGAUAUAAUUAUGGGAGAAGUUGAUCGUUAAAAUGAUAAUUUAUGCAACAGAAGUACAAACAAUAAAUUCUUUUCUUAGAUUGGAAUCUUUAAAAGAGGUCUAUGGACUCAUAUGGAUAUUUGUCCCUAUAUUUUCUCUUGUAUUGGGAAUCAUAACUGGUGUACUAGUAAUUGUGUGGUUAGAAAGAGAAAUAUCUGCAGGGAUACAACAACGUAUUGGACCUGAAUACGCCGGCCCGUUAGGAAUUCUUCAAGCUUUAGCCGACGGGACAAAACUACUUUUCAAAGAAGAUCUUCGUCCAUCUAGAGGAAAUACUCCUUUAUUUAGUAUUGGACCAUCUAUAGCAGUUAUCUCUAUUUUACUAAGUUAUUCAGUAAUUCCUUUUAGCAAUCACCUUGUUUUAGCGGAUCUCAAUAUCGGUAUUUUUUUAUGGAUUGCCAUCUCAAGUGUUGCUCCGAUCGGACUUCUUAUGUCAGGAUAUGGAUCAAAUAAUAAAUAUUCUUUUUUAGGUGGUCUGCGAGCUGCUGCUCAAGCGAUUAGUUAUGAAAUACCAUUAACUCUAUGUGUUUUAUCAAUAUCUCUACGUGCGAUUCGUUGAAACAGAAAGGUUUAUUCCGUUUCUUCUAGAUAAAAAAAAAAUAAAAAAAAAAACGGAAUAUAUAUAUUUAUCUUUCGGGUUUAUCUUAAUAAAAGGAAUUUGAAUUUGAUAGUUAUAUAUGAGUGAAAAAAAACUGCUCAGAAAUUAGCAGUAAAAAGAAAAAUUAAGUCUCAUUUCCUAUGUACAAAGGUUAAAUGGAAAUAAACGUAAGCGUAAGAAUCGCUUUACCCCAAGGUUGGUUGAUUAGUCAGCCGGGCUUGAAGCGGGUUAAAAAAAAUAUUAACCGUAUGACGUUUUCACUAUCAGUUAUAUAAAUUACUAUACAUAUACAUAUAUUACAAAGUGAUCGGCAAUUAGGUAAAAACGCGUGGAUGGUUAGAAACACCAAAAUACACAAAGAAUUUGUAAUAGAGAUUAACCAAAUUGAAAAGGAUAUUUAUGCAUAACAUAAGAUAACAAAAAAAGAAGGUUAAUUGGGGCUUGAAAUUUGUAGAAAUUAUCAGGCAGUACUCCCCAAGAUUCCGAUUCAGAGUAUGCUCCCAUCCACCGAUAAAUGUAAUGACUAUCAGAAACGAAAUAAUCCUUUAUUUUUUUUUAAGUCCACCUACUUUUUUUCUAAAAAAGAAAGAAAGAAGAAUAGGAACGAAACAAGUAUAUUUUUUUUGAUAGAUUUCGAAAAUAAAAUAGAAUUUCUAUCAUGAAUAAGAAACUAAUAGGAUGUUUAAUUCUUUUUCGUAAUUGAAAAACACGACGGGCUGAAAAACCUAGGUUUAGUUUUACAAGGGGUGCUUUAUUAAAGGAUUAAGUUAUUACUCAACAAAUAGAAAUUAAAAUUUGUAAAGGAUGAGAUGAAUUCCGAAGCGCGUUUUUUAGUUUUAGAAUUUGAGCAGACAGAAUUCCAUUGGUAUAAUUCGGGACCCCAGAUAUAUUUCUAUUUAAUCCAUUUUAGAACACAUCAUAUCCAUCUAAAUAAUACUAAUCUGGUCCUUAUAUUUAUUUACGGCCCCCGAGGAGCCGUAUGAGGCGAAAACCUCAUGUACGGUUUUGUAAUAGCGGUGAGAAUAGUAAUGUUAUCACCGACUAGGAUUAUCUAACAGUUUAAGUACAGUUGAUAUAGUUGAGGCACAAUCAAAAUAUGGUUUUUGGGGAUGGAAUUUGUGGCGUCAACCUAUAGGUUUUAUCAUUUUUCUAAUUUCUUCCCUAGCAGAAUGCGAGAGGUUACCUUUUGAUUUACCAGAAGCGGAAGAAGAAUUAAUAGCAGGUUAUCAAACUGAAUAUUCCGGUAUCAAAUUUGGUUUAUUUUAUGUUGCUUCUUAUCUAAAUCUAUUAAUUUCCUCAUUAUUUGUAACAGUUCUAUACUUAGGCGGUUGGAAUAUUUCUAUUCCGUAUAUAUCUAUGCUGGAGCUAUUUGAAAAGGAUCAAAUUUUUGGAACAACAAUUGGUAUCUUUAUUACAUUAGCUAAAACUUAUUUGUUCUUGUUCAUUUCUAUCGCAACCAGAUGGACUUUACCUAGGCUAAGAAUGGAUCAACUAUUAAAUCUUGGAUGGAAAUUUCUUUUACCGAUUUCCCUUGGUAAUCUAUUAUUAACAACUUCUUUCCAACUCUUUUCACUCUAAAUUGAAAAUCAAUCCAAGAUAUUCAUUACUUGUUUUAAACAAGAGAAAGAAACAAAGAUCAAAUUAUUCAUAGAUAAUUACAAUAUGCUUCCUAUGAUAACCGGGUUCAUGAAUUAUGGUCAACAAACCCUACGAGCUGCAAGGUAUAUUGGUCAGGGUUUCAUGAUUACCUUAUCCCACACAAAUCGUUUACCUGUAACUAUUCAAUAUCCCUAUGAAAAAUUAAUAACAUCAGAACGUUUCCGCGGUCGAAUCCAUUUCGAAUUUGAUAAAUGCAUUGCUUGUGAAGUAUGUGUUCGAGUAUGUCCUAUAGAUCUGCCGGUUGUUGAUUGGAAAUUGGAAACUAAUAUUCGAAAAAAACGAUUGCUUAAUUACAGUAUUGAUUUUGGAAUUUGUAUAUUUUGUGGUAAUUGUGUUGAGUAUUGUCCAACAAAUUGUUUGUCAAUGACUGAAGAAUAUGAGUUUUCAACUUAUGAUCGUCACGAGUUGAAUUAUAAUCAAAUCGCUUUGGGGCGUUUACCAAUGUCAGUAAUUGACGAUUAUACUAUUCGAACAAUUUUGAAUUCACCUCAAACAAAAAAUGGGUAAACCCAUUAAUUUUAUUAAAAAAAGAAUGCAAAACUGUUGAAUUAUAUUAUAUAAAGAAUUUAAUUAAAAACUUGUAUUUAUAGAAUAAUAUUAAGUAUUAAGGCUCAUCCUUUUAAUAUAAUAUUUUCGUAAUUAUUAUCUUGCUUGAAAUAGAUAGGUUGAAAAUAUUAGAAUAAAAAAGCGAAACUGUCUAAUAAUUGUAUCUACAUCAAUUAAUAUUCAUUAGAUUCUAAUUUCACUCUAUUAGAAACAUAUUAAAAAAAAAUUCCCCGGUUAAAUUAAUAAGGUCAUGAAAAGGAUUUCUAUUUUUUCUUUUUUUAAUAAUAUAAUGGAUUUGCCUGGACCAAUACAUGAUUUUCUUUUAGUUUUUCUGGGAUCUGGUCUUCUAGUAGGAGGUCUGGGAGUGGUAUUACUUCCUAACCCAAUAUUUUCAGCCUUUUCCUUAGGAUUUGUUCUUGUUUGUAUAUCUUUAUUGUAUAUUCUAGCAAAUUCCCAUUUUGUAGCUGCUGCACAACUCCUUAUUUACGUGGGAGCCAUAAAUGUUUUAAUCAUAUUUGCUGUGAUGUUCAUGAAUGAUUCCGAAUAUUCCAUAGAUUUCAAUCUGUGGACUGUUGGGAAUGGGAUUACUUCAGUGGUUUGUACAACUAUUCUUUUUUCAUUAAUUUCUACUAUUCUCGAUACGUCAUGGUACGGGGUUAUUUGGACUACAAGAUUAAACCAGAUUUUAGAACAAGAUUUAAUAAGUAAUAGUCAACAAAUAGGAAUUCAUUUAUCAACAGAUUUUUUUCUUCCAUUUGAACUCAUUUCAAUAAUUCUUUUAGUUGCUUUGAUAGGUGCAAUUUCUGUGGCUCGUCAAUAAAAAAGGUUCCAAUUAGUAAAGACCAAAGAAAACUUUGUGUUUGUGUAUGUUAUGAUAUUUUUUUCCGUUCAUUCAAUUUGAUUGAAUACUAUUUCAUUUUUUAAAUAUAAAUUUUUAUAUUUUAUAUAUAUUUGAAAUUUUUUCCCUAAUAUAGUUUUUAUUCGUACUUUGUUGUUAUAUUCUAGUUGAUUGAAUCCGGUGAAUUGUUUUUAUUAUUCAUAUUGAUAAUGAAUCAAAAUUGAUAAGGAGUUGCUCAAUGAUACUCGAACAUGUACUUGUUUUGAGUGCCUAUUUAUUUUUGAUUGGUCUUUAUGGAUUGAUCACGAGUCGAAAUAUGGUUAGGGCUCUUAUGUGCCUUGAACUUAUACUCAAUGCAGUUAAUAUGAAUCUCGUAACAUUUGCUGAUUUUUUUGAUAAUUCCCAACUAAAAGGGGAUAUUUUCUGCAUUUUUGUUAUAGCAAUUGCAGCCGCUGAAGCAGCUAUUGGAUUAGCUAUAGUCUCGUCAAUUUAUCGUAACAGAAAAUCAACUCGCAUCAACCAAUCGACCUUAUUAAAUAAGUAGCAUAAAUCAAAAAAUUAUAGGUUUAAAUUUGCAUAUAUGAUAGGUUAUGACUUACUAGAUUAAAUUUGUGAAAAUUUAAGAAAUCAAAGUAUUUUAGCCCCAUUUUUUACCAAUUGAGCCAGAAUUCAUUAAAAAAUUCUAUUAAAAGAAAUCAUUGCUUCAUCUAGUAUUUUAAUUUAAUAUAUCAUUUAGUUAUAAGUUUACUAGAUUGAAAAUUUAUGACAUUAAAAAAACUAUAGAUCCUAUGUCACAUUCAGUAAAAAUUUAUGAUACCUGUAUAGGAUGUACUCAGUGUGUCCGAGCAUGUCCUACAGACGUAUUAGAAAUGAUACCUUGGGAUGGAUGUAAAGCUAAGCAAAUAGCUUCUGCCCCAAGAACCGAGGAUUGUGUUGGUUGUAAGAGAUGUGAAUCUGCCUGUCCAACGGAUUUUUUGAGCGUUCGAGUUUAUUUAUGGCAUGAAACAACUCGAAGCAUGGGUCUAGCUUAUUAAUACGUUACCGAAAACCUGAUUUGAAUAAAUUUGGAAUACAUUUUAUUUUUUUUAUUGACAAGUACUCGUACUCAAAAAAGUUCAAUUAUAUUUUUUUAUUUAUAUAUUUUUUUGAGUACGCGUUCUUUGGACCUGGUGUAUCUUGUCUUUACCACGAAUGAUUUUCCUUGGUUAACAAUAAUUGUUGUUUUUCCAAUAUCUGCCGGUUCAUUAAUGUUAUUUCUCCCGCAUAGGGGAAAUAAAGUUAAUAAGUGGUAUACUAUAUGCAUUUGUAUCUUAGAACUUCUUCUAACGACUUACGCUUUUUGUUAUAAUUUUAAACUGGACGAUCCAUUAAUUCAACUGUCCGAAGAUUAUAAAUGGAUCAAUCUUUUUGAUUUUUAUUGGAGACUGGGAAUAGAUGGACUUUCUAUAGGAACGAUUUUACUGACCGGAUUUAUUACUACUUUAGCUACUUUAGCGGCUUUUCCAGUUACUCGGGAUUCCCGAUUAUUCUAUUUCCUGAUGUUAGCAAUGUACAGCGGCCAAAUAGGAUCGUUUUCUUCUCGGGAUAUUUUACUUUUUUUCAUCAUGUGGGAAUUAGAAUUAAUUCCCGUUUAUCUCCUUUUAUCCAUGUGGGGUGGAAAGAAACGUUUGUAUUCAGCUACAAAAUUUAUUUUAUACACUGCAGGAAGUUCUAUUUUUUUAUUAAUAGGAGUUUUAGGUAUAAGUUUAUAUGGUUCGAACGAACCAACAUUAAAUUUAGAACUAUUAGGGAAUCAAGCCUAUCCGGUCACACUCGAAAUACUCUUUUAUAUUGGAUUUCUUAUUGCUUUUGCCGUCAAAUCACCGAUUAUACCUUUACAUACUUGGUUACCUGACACCCACGGCGAGGCACAUUACAGUAUCUGUAUGCUUCUCGCUGGAAUCUUAUUAAAAAUGGGAGCAUAUGGAUUGGUUCGAAUCAAUAUGGAAUUAUUACCUCACGCUCAUUCUAUGUUUUCUCCUUGGUUGAUGGUAGUCGGUACAAUCCAAAUAAUUUAUGCAGCUUCAACAUCUCCCGGUCAACGUAAUUUAAAAAAGAGAAUAGCCUAUUCUUCUGUAUCUCAUAUGGGUUUUAUAAUUAUAGGUAUUGGUUCUAUAACGGAUCCUGGGCUUAAUGGAGCUAUUUUACAAAUAAUCUCUCAUGGAUUUAUUGGCGCUGCACUUUUUUUCUUGGCAGGAACUAGUUAUGAUAGAAUCCGGCUUGUUUAUCUUGAUGAAAUGGGUGGAAUGGCUAUCUCCAUUCCAAAGAUAUUUACAAUGUUCACUAUCUUAUCGAUGGCUUCCCUUGCAUUACCGGGCAUGAGUGGUUUUGUUGCCGAAUUAAUCGUUUUUUUUGGAAUAAUUACCAGCCAAAAAUAUUUCUUAAUUUCAAAAAUUUUAAUUAUUUUUGUAAUGGCAAUUGGAAUGAUAUUAACUCCUAUAUAUUUAUUAUCUAUGUCACGUCAAAUGUUCUAUGGAUACAAGUUAAUUAAUGCCAAAAACUUUUCUUUUUUUGAUUCUGGACCCCGAGAGUUAUUUCUUUCAAUCUCUAUUCUUCUACCCAUAAUUGGUAUUGGGAUUUAUCCUGAUUUUGUGCUCUCAUUAGCAAGUGACAAGGUCGAAUCCAUUUUAUCUAAUUAUUUUUAUGGAUAGUUUUCAGGAAAUAAAAAAAAAACAUUAAAUUGAAUUAUAAUAAGAAGUCUUUGCUUUUUGUAUUGUGAGAACCUUUUGAAUCAUUGUACUACUUGAUUCAAAAGGUUCUUGAUGAUUUACUACUAAAACUAAAUUAGAUUUCUUAACUUAGAUGAAGUUAUAUAUAGAUGCUAUUUUUUUUAUUUGGAUUCUUUUCUUUUUUUGUUAAUGUUUUAGUUAAUUCGAUGUAAAUGAACCAUAACUAUGUAAACCUAUUCCUAAAAGAUUGACGCCAAAAUAGCAUAUCCAAAUUAAAAGAAAACCUAGCGAAGCCACAAUUGCAGAAUUUAUACCUCGAGCAUUCCUAUUUGUUUUAAUAUGUAAAUAAAUUGCGAAGAUGGUCCAAGUAAUAAAUGCCCAGGUUUCUUUCGGAUCCCAAUUCCAAUAUGAACCCCAUGUUUCAUUAGCCCAUACAGCUCCUGAAAGAAUGCCGACGGUUAAAAAGAUAAAUCCGAGACUAAUAAUACGAAAACUCCAAUAAUCUAAUUGUUCAAUCAAUUGAUACCUAUAAUAAUUUCUAGAAAAACUAAAAUUAAUAUUUUGUUGUAGUAAAAUAGAAUUUCUUUCAUUUAUGUAGUAAAGUACAUCAAAAGAAAAUAAUUCAUUUAAUAACAUUUUAUUUUUCAUAUUCUUUUUCCAAAAAGUAGAUCCGACCUUGCGAAAUGUAAUGACUAGAAGAGCUAUUGAUAAUAAUGAUCCGCAUAACAGAGCGCCAUAGCCUAAUAUCAUCAUACUUACGUGCAUCAUUAACCACUGGGACUGGAGAGCUGGUACUAAUAUUGCAGACUGAGGCAUGUUGUUUAAAAGACCUGAAGUAGCAAAACCCUGAAUAAAAAUAGCACUUGGCGCAGUUAUUGCGUUUAAGUGAUUUUUUUUUUUAUUAAAAUAGGAAACUAUAUGAAUAAUUGCAAAAGCCCAUGAAAGAAAAAUUAAUGAUUCAUAUAAAUUGCUUAAUGGAAAAUGUCCUGAAUAAAUCCAACGCGUAAAUAAUAAUCCUGUUAUACCAAAAAACGUAAUUACGAUUCCUUUAUCUGAUGAAUCAAAAAAUCCUAUGAUUUCAUCUAAAUUAACUAAUAAAGUUAAAAAAUAAAUUAGUAGUACAAUUGAAACGACCGAAAAAGAUAUAUGAGUUAAUAUAUGCUCUAAAAUUGAAAAAAUCAUAAAAAAUUUGUUAAAAAUUAAUAAAUUAAUACUAGGUUUUACCCGAUUUUAGAAAACAAGUCGGGUAUUAAUUUGAUUAUAAAACUUAUAAUAUCUCUUUUAUAAGAUCUUAUGCCGCUACUCGGACUCGAACCGAGAUGCUCUAGCACUGCUUCCUAAGAGCAGCGUGUCUACCAAUUUCACCAUAGCGGCAACUUGUUCAAAAUAAUACUAACAAGUUUUUACUCAAUCGUCGAGAUUCAAAUUUUAAAUAAAGAAGCUAAUUUAAUGGAAUUUAAAAUUGAUUUUAUUACUAAAAAAAUGCUUUUUCUAAAAAUUAAAACUUCUCCAAAAUCCUUAGAAAUUUUAACUAAAAUUUGCCUAAGUUGCUCAAGAAAAAUGAAAAACAACAAUUGUCAAAAUAUCUAUUUUCAUGCAUCUUUUUAUAUUGUACAAACAUAAUAUUUUUUGAUCGCUUAAAAAAAAUAUCAUAUAUUAUUACUUAUUAGUAUCUAAUAUUCACUUAAUUGUGGAUAGAUACUUUUAUAACUUUGAUUCCAAGUAAAGAAUAUAAGAAUUAAGAGAAAUAAUAAUUCCUAAAGGUAUAAAGUGAAAAUUUUUUGACUUAAAUUAAUUUAAAGAACCUGUUGAUUUCGCUAAAAGAUCUUGUAUUUCCUAGUUAAGAGGAAAUACAAGAUCUUUAUUUAUUUUUUUAUUGAUGGGGAAAGUAAUAACCCCCCCCCUUUUUUUUACAAAAUCAAUAGGAAUCUUUCGUAUAUUUCGUAUAUAUAUAUAUUAUCUUUUUUUUUUAUUUUGGUUCCUAUAGAUUUUUUUAAUUUAUAUGUAUUCUAAAAAAUUGGUUUUUACGUUAGGCUAAUUCUAAUGAUUCUAAUGUUUUUUAUUUAUUUUGUUGUACAAAAUAACUUUUUGAAUUACCUGUAGAAAGCGAUUUCCCUAAGGAAAAAGCUUUCAACGAUGUCCAAUAUCCCUUCCUUUUCCAAAUUUUUUUACGAAUACGCUUUUUCGAGAUAGAAGUACGUUUUUUUGGAACUGCCAUUCAAAAAUGAAAAAAGUUUUUCAGUGGUAUAAUUGGAUGUCAAAGACAUUUAUUAUUCUAUUCUUUCGUACUCCAUAUUGAGUAAUUUUUUUCUUUCAAAUUUUAUUAUAUAUUAUUUUUCAAACAAAACAGACAUUCAAAAGUUUAAAACCCAACUAUUUUUUCCCUUUUUCUUGAAAUUUUUUUUGUAUUUAACGUUUUAAAUCCGUAUAAGAGUGCUCAUUUAAUUAAUCUAUACUGAUAGAUUUAGAUUAUAUUAGAAAAAAUUUUAUUAAAUUUCUUCACUUCAUAUGUAAAAAAAAAUAUCGAUUAUAAUAAUAUUUCUUGAAAAAAAAAAGCUCACUUAGUGUACUGGAAGACAAUCACUAAAUUCCAUAAUUCAAUAAUAAUUCUAAAUAAUCAAACCCAAAUAACUUUUUUUUAUACUUAAUAUUAAGUAUUUUUUUGUCGUGUAAAUCUUUGUUCUAUUCUUAAUAUAUGUAUAUAAAUUAUUGUAAUACGGAAUUAUAAUUCACUUUUUCUGUAUCUGCAUAAAAUCAAAUUUUUUUUUAGUAGUAAAAAAAAAAAAAGACAAAUCGUUUUUUUUUACAGUAACUUAGUAAUAUUAGUUAAUAACUUCUAAUUUUUUGAUUUGAAUAUAUUUCUUUUCAAAGGUUUAUGAAGGAUUAUACUAAUUCGAAAAAAUUUCUAUUUAAGUUUGAAAAAAAUGCGCUUUUUUAUUAUCCCCUUUGAAAAAAAUAUAUAUAUAUACAAACCAGUGAAUAAGAAAUAAUAAAUUUAAGAAUAAAAUAAAAAGGGUUUUUUAUUUUAUGGAACAUACAUAUCAAUAUUCAUGGAUCAUCCCUUUCAUUCCACUUCCAGUACCUAUUUUACUC
rnacentral:lncRNA from 1 species